AAUCCUGUUACACCUGGGAUUUAGGUGCCUUCAAUCUGGAAAAAAUACAUAUCCGUUCAGCACUCCAGAGGGACUUCAGAGCUGUCCUUCCCUGAACUAAAGCUGGAGUAUUUUAGGAUUUGGAGAAUUAAG
rfam:Equus caballus chromosome 9, whole genome shotgun sequence.